UACGGAGGGUGCAAGCGUUAUCCGGAUUUACUGGGUUUAAAGGGUGCGUAGGUGGGCAGGUAAGUCAGUGGUGAAAUCUCCGGGCUUAACUCGGAAACUGCCAUUGAUACUAUUUGUCUUGAAUAUCCUGGAGGUAAGCGGAAUAUGUCAUGUAGCGGUGAAAUGCUUAGAUAUGACAUAGAACACCCAUUGCGAAGGCAGCUUACUACGGGAUCAUUGACACUGAGGCACGAAAGCGUGGGGAGCAAACAGG
rnacentral:rRNA from 1 species